CCCCUCAGCUCCUCUGCUCUGGGCUGGGUACACCCAGGGCCUCGGCCCCUCUAGGCCCUUCCCUGCAAUAACACAAAAUUAUUAAGUCAUGUAAAUCAAGUGAAAGCAGAUCUCUUCUGUAACAAUAUUAAAUAAUUAAUUAGCUCUAUCUGAAAUAUGGGAAUAUGUUGUGGAUGAAAGGAGAGUGUUACGUGGAUUUGUUCCCUGUAUACAUUACUAGAAAUGCUGCCUGAUGGCUCUCCAAGCUAUCAAAGAAGUGGCAGUGUCCAAGGAAUAUUCUCGAAGGUUUUCUGUAUACCCAAAGAGGCUUCAAAGCAUGGUGGAUCACUGAAGUUUGAUGGAAUAAGUCCUUUUGAGUCUUGAUAUAAAAUAAAAUAAGAAUUGAGCGUGGCCUACUAUGUUGGUAUAUGUGAGUUUUGCUCCUGGAGUUUAUGUGAUAAAGUAAGUAGAAGAAAAGAUUCCUCCACUGAUGUACAUCAAAUGAAAUCAGGAACACCUGAGCUCCCCACUCAUUGAAUGCUGCAGGGCAGGGGUUGCUCAUCAUCCCAUCCACAUUAUCAGCAUCUUACAGAACUAGGCCUCUGACAAGCCAUGCUGUCCCAGUAGGCAGUUGUUACAGCUCACUCCUUAACUGAGGCAGAGCAUAUUCUUACGACGCUUGCUGAAACCUUUGUUCCCAUUACCAUUUGCAAUUGACCUCUGUGCAAGCAGACUCAGCUUGGAACACCAGAUAUGUUCAGUCCAUGAGUCGGAUCUUGUACAAAAUGAGGGGCCUAAAAUCACUAGGGACAAAGUCUUUCUUUCAAUUGCAGUACAUUUAGAGAUCUUACUUACACCCCUUCCAUCCACAGACAAAAACUCACGUGAUCUUCCACUUGGAUUCAUGCAGCUGGAGAUAAGGAUAAAAUUAGUACUGUGAAUUCACCUGGGCUAGUAAAGUGAGUUCAAGGGACAAUGUGGAAAUUUGAUUACAUAUUAUAUCUACUUACCAAUCUAUUAUGUAUAUAUCUAUUUCACUGCUG
rnacentral:lncRNA from 7 species